rnacentral:tRNA from 1 species
GGGAGAAUAGUUUAGUCGGUUAAAGCAUGUGGCUAUUAGCCACAAGGUCAAAAGUUUAAUUCCUCCUUCUGGCA